AGCCGCUGACGCAAGGCACGGUGCAGGCUGAGUCAGCGAAGCUGAACCUGCCUACGGGUUCGGAGCAGCGAGGCGUUCCCGCGGCCGCGGCAUAGACACCGAUCACAGGCGGACCUAGGAUAUUAGGGUGGAGCUUCCUGGGUCAAAUGCUGCUGCCUCCAUUGUGAUCUCGGAGCCUAGGCUGAGCAGCUCCUGUUCCCUGGUGGGAUCAGGGCUGGGGAGUGACUGUGAGUAAAGCUUCCUCUGUGCUCAGCCAAGGCUGCAGUGUAACAUCCUAUCCUUUUGGAGGACAGGGAAGGGAAAUGGCUGCCGUGGAGCCAGUGCAGGAGCCGGUGACCUUCGAGGAGGUGGCUGUGUAUUUCACCAAGGAAGAGU